GACAGAUUUUGGCCUUUCCAAACAUUUUGAUAUGAAUGUAAAUAAAAAUA
rnacentral:sRNA from 1 species